UGGGAUUUGAUGCUAGCAUGCAAAUGAAGCGUCUCGCCUUCAUACCCACACACGGUUACAAAUCUCUCCUCCUCAUCACUACGAAAACCACCUCAAAUCUUAUUAUUCUCCUUCGUCACUCUCAUCCACCACCCCUACGCCACCAUAACCGCUGCCAUGGGAGACAUUCCGGCAUGGACGCUCUUCACAUUCUCGAGUUUUCGUUUAACUUCAAUCGCUUAUCUAAAUCUGUUUUCAUUGCGCCCGUAACCCCAACUCAAUCCUCAUCCAACUGUCUUAGAGGAGGCAAGGUUAAGCAAGUGAACGACCAGAUCUCGGUGGUUUGUAAGGGAGAUGAUGAUGGUUCUGUUCAUGAAGAUGGUGGUUGUUCUGCUUCUUCAAUUCAAAAUACAUAAUAAAGACAGGAUUCUAUUCGUUAUUGCCGAUGCACUUCGUGAGAGAUUCAAUGCAAACAAGAACGUGCUAAGAGGAUCUCCGGAUAUUAAUGUUUGUUGUUGUGCUUCGGUGACAAUUUUAUCAGCUCCCAACUGCGGAAAUCUUGAAAAUAUUGUUGAAGUUUUUGAAAGCUCAAAGGAGCCCCCUGUUGAUGAAAGUGAUAGUAAUGAUACUGAUGAAAGUGAUUCUCUGAUGAUAUUGAAGAUUCUGAUCAUAGGUUAUAUACAUCAUUGUGUUGUAGGUUUUGCUUGUUUGUGAAUUUACCUUGGGCCUGGGUUCGUUAACCUUGCCAAUUAUGCCUUAUGUAUUGUUCUUUGAUGAAAGUUAAGAGUAAAGUGGUUAACCUAAAACCCUAUAACUUCUCUACAGGUUAAUCUGUAGUUAAUAAUCUGGUCGUAGCCUAUCCAUAUAUUGUUGAUUCUCUCAAAGGUUUUCUUUGAAGAAUUGCAGUGCAGUCAUGGGCUUUCUUGUUUAUGGAGGAAGGUAUGAUUUAUACUUUUUAUAUUUCUUUUGUGAGGCUAUUUUCUCUACCUGCAAGGAAUAAUGCUUAUGUAUUGAUUCACAUGUUUCAACUAUUUAAAUUGAAUGCCAAAGGAUGAGCUAACCCCACUUGAUAUAAAAAAGGACCCUAAAAGCAUGUGAGAUGAUGAAUAUGGUAUAAAAGAUUCAUGGGAAGAUGAAGACGAACCCUCUCCGCCACAAGUGGUAGCACCUCCUGUUGUGAAGGCCGCAAAGAAGUCAACAGUCAAACCGGCUCCAAGAAAAAGGGAUAGCUGUUGUUGAAGUAGCAAAAGAGGUGCAUUAAAUCCUUUACUAGAGAAGCUCUAACAAUGAAGGUAUGCACCAUUAAUGGUAUAACCAUUUAUUCAUCUGAAAAUAUACAAUGCAAUCGUAUAAAUUUUGUUACUCUUGUGCAUGGCAUCUUGUGGAGUUGCCUUUUUAUAGCUUUCCCUUCAUUUGUAUGAUCAAUAUAGCAAUUUCAAUUUGGAUCUGUUGGCUUCUUUUCACCUAUGAACCAUUUUCAUGU